CUAUGACAUGAAUUUGUCAUGGCGGAAGGAG
ncrna:unclassified sequences L31-Firmicutes ribosomal protein leader